CACCUUAAUUAGCAAUUAUUCAGUUGAGCCUUCAUUCGCAUAUUAGCAGUCUCUAUCAUCUUCUUCUCCAAAUGAACUUCUCUAUCAGCUUUCUCUCACAACCUUAGCUCACUGACUCACCCUAUCCUCACCCCGACAGUCUAAACCCAACCCUAACCUCUGCUUCACACCCAACAACGACGGUGGCCCUCGAGAGGUUCCGUAAUAUGCACCUCACUGUAUGUUGAUUUACUUUUCAUUAUGCACCAAACUAACUACUUCUUCUAGUAUUAAGAAUGAUUUCUUACUACUUUUUUAAGGUGAAUUCUUUUUUCCACUGGAAUUUGUUUCCCAUAAAAAUGACCAGUCUAAAAUUCAUCGAAACCCCUUCGUUAUUAUGUCUAUUUGUGUAUAAAAUAUUAUUUUUCCAGUUUGAUUCUUAUUAUUAUGAAGUAACUAUAGUUUUUAGAUUGCCCCCAUAACCCGAAGAAUCAAUUUGUGAGAGCAAGGAAUAUUUGGUAAAUGAAACGAUCGGCAUCUAUUGUUGGAGAAAGGCAACGGGAAAAAUAUUUCCUGAUGUUUACUUUAAAUCUCCGUGAAAGAUUAACGACAUAACAUCUGAUUUUACAUGCCCCUUUUUCUUUUAACCGUUGUACUAAUUUUAGAUUCUGAGUAAUACUAUGUGAAGCUGGAGAAUAAAUUUUAUGAUUAGUGCAACUUAUUUGCUCUAAUUGAUUGCAUUAAUCAAGAACGCCACCUCUCUUCUCGCCUUCACUCUCUGUCUAUUUUUUUUUUUUGCUUCGCAGGUGACCAAGUGGGAUUCAGUAGUAGGUGUUUUGAAAGCAUCUGCUACUGUACAUACCUUGUUUGGGAAAAUGCCUCAAACAAUGAUUCUUUGUCAAGAUUUGUGGUUUAUUUUAGAAUCUCAUGUUUAUGAUUGUUUUAUUGAUUUAGGUGUUAAGAGAAGCUGAAGUGUCAAUUGAGUGGAAAGCACAUUAUGCUGGAACCAUAAUUGAUCUGGAAAAAUAGAAAUUUUAUUGUCUUUUUCUCAAGGAGCUGGAAAACUCGAAGACUAUAACUUCAAUUGGUGAUCUGAACAAUGCUCCUAAAGAAACAGUCAUGUAUAGCCCUACAAUGAGUAGUAUAAUCUUUUUGAUAAACAAGCUGAAGCUAUAUUAGACAUAAAUCUAAGAAGACUUACACUUCUUGAGAUGAAAAAGUUUAUCAAUGAAAGUGAAUCUUUAAGGGAGCAAAUUUCAAAAUUAGAGGAACUUUUGUGAAGCAAGUAGAAUAUGUUAGAGAUCAUGCCUACAUAUGCUCAGAGGAUGCUUUAAGAGUUUGAGGGGUGUGUGCUUCUAACUUCUGAGUUGGAUUCAGAUCAUAGAGGCUUCACAUUCUUUUUUAUGUUUGUUUGCCUAAUUUAGUGUUAGUUUUUUUUGUUCAUUUAGUUUGGUUUGUAUUGGGGUAACUUUUUUCUGUUUUUCAUGUUGGCAACUCUGAUUCAUGGAGUUUGUUGUUGUAGUUCAUAGACAAUACAAUUCAAGCAAGGAUUAUGUAAAUGAAUUUU